rnacentral:lncRNA from 1 species
GAAAUUGUGCACUCGGGGAGCUUGGAUUUUAAGGCAGUAGCUUGCCGACGCUCCCAGCUGAAUAAAGCCCUUCCUUCUACAACUCGGUGUCUGAGAGGUUUUGUCUGCGGCUCGUCCUGCUACACUAAUACUAGCAAUUGUGUUAUGAAAUUCAUGUUCUCAUCAUUUCAUCAUGUCCUCUGAGACUAGGGGUCCCAGCCCCCUUGACAUAUGUCAGUACCUGUUAGCAACCAGGCCACACACCCAGAGCUCUCGGAGGAGGUGGACACAGAGCACAUAUGUCUUCUCUUAUACACAUAAAUGAGAAGACUUUCUAAAGGCAGAUGAUUGGCCAGAGUUUCUGAGUUAUGAGAGCUACUUCAGAGGUUUCUUUGAGAAAAAGUCACCAUUGGCAGCACAUUUUAGUGACACAGAAUGGAUCACAAAACUUGCUUAUUUGUGUGAUAUUUUCAACCUGCUCAACGAACUCAAUCUGUCACUUCAGGGGAGAACGACAACUGUGUUCAAGCCAGCAAAUAAAGUGGCUGCAUUCAAUGGCAAAUUGAAAUUAUGAAGGUGAUGGGCGAACAUUUGAAUUUUUGACACGUUCAAACAUUAGCAGAUAGUUUGAAAGAGACAGGGCUUUCUUUCUCCCAGCUGGUGCAUAAUCACCUAUCUCAGCUUUCAAAAGAGUUUGAGCAUUACUUCCAACCACAAAAGACCCCCGAACUGGGAAGGAAUGGGACCAUUACCCAUUUAUGAGUAAGCCAGGUGAAUCAACUUCGUCUGUUCUGCCAGAGGAUCAACUGCUCGCGAUCACAAAUAAUGGUGGCCUUAAAAGUAUGUUUGAGACAAAGUUAAAUCUCCAUAUGUUCUGGAUUAAAGUCAAGGGGUAAUAUCCAGAGAUUGUCACAAAAGCACUGAAAAGCCUACCUCCAUUUCCAACAUCCUUUCUUUGUGAAUCAGGGAUUUUUGCAGUGACAGCAACCAAACCGAGAUUACAGAAUAGACUGGACAUAAGCAAAACACUUAGGGUGUGGCUGUCUCCCAUGACCCCCAGAUGGGACCAUCUAGUUGCAGGAAAACAAGCUCAGCGCUCCCACUGAUUUUCUACAUUAUGGUGAGUUGUAGAAUUAUUUAAUUAUAUAUUACAGUGUAAUAAUCAUAGAACUAAAGUGCACAAUAAAUGUAAUGCACUUGAAUCAUGCCAAAACCAGCCCCGCCAACACUGUCUGUGGAAAAAUUGUCUUCCAUGAAACCAGUCCCGGGUGCCAAAAAGGUUGGGGACUGCUGUCUCACACUAUCUGAAGUUUCCUACCUAGCUGCAUCCCUACCUGUUGCAUAUUAAUAAUUGUAUUAAUUAAUGUGUUAAUUGCUUAGAAAAGAGUGGAACUUGAAAGACAUUACAAACUUUUUUUUUAAGGCCAUUGAUUUAAUAGGUUUGAUGGUCCUGGGGUUAUUUGGGGGGGAAAAUAAAGUGAUGAUUAAGAAGACAAUAUUAAUUAAGCUGUUUGCUUCCUGCUUUGGUUCUAUUGCUACACUUAAGCCGCUUAUCUUCCUUAUGUAUUCCUAGAUAUAUUAUUUCCCAAAGUUCUUUGCCAAGAUACAAAUUAUGUGAUUGUCUUCCAGUGUCUCAUGAGAACUUGUUUUGAAGUUAGGGCAUUUAGGUGAUUGGCUUUACCUAUUCAUAGUUUGGGAUUCAAUGUGCUCCCAAAUAUGUAAUGUAGAACAUUCAUAUUACAUAUUUGAUAAUCUAUUGACCUUCCAAGAAUUAUUAUGUAAGUUACUAAUUAUCAUUGUUUCCUGGAGCUAGAAUGAAUUCUUGAUGAAGUAGCAAGUAACAGAAUGAUUAAUUUCAAUAUGUAUCUUUUAAUGAAUGCUCAAAGGUAAUGUAGACUGUUUAUGAUUACUUUUUGUGGACUUUCACGUAAGAGAAAUAAAUAUCCAUUGAUUGCAC